rnacentral:rRNA from 1 species
GACGAACGCUGGCGGCGUGCUUAACACAUGCAAGUCGAACGAAGUGGCGAACGGGUGAGUAAAGCGUAAUCAACCUGCCCUUCAGAGGGGGACAACAGUUGGAAACGACGUCUAAUACCGCAUAAGGAAGGAGGGGAUUGCGUCGGAUUAGCUAGUUGGAGGGGUAACGGCCCACCAGGGCGAUGAGCAGUAGCCGGUCUGAUGGGAUGAACGGCCACAUUGGGACUGAGACACGGCACAGACUCCUACGGGAGGCAGCAGUGGGGAAUCUUCCGCAAUGGACGAAAGUCUGACGGAGCAACGCCGCGUGAGUGAUGACGGCCUUCGGGUUGUAAAGCUCUGUUAAUCGGGACGCGGUACCGGAAUAGAAAGCCACGGCUAACUACGUGCCAGCCGCCGCGGUAAUAC